rnacentral:rRNA from 1 species
AUUGAACGCUGGCGGCAGGCCUAACACAUGCAAGUCGAGCGGAUGAAGGGAGCUUGCUCCUGGAUUCAGCGGCGGACGGGUGAGUAAUGCCUAGGAAUCUGCCUGGUAGUGGGGGAUAACGUCCGGAAACGGGCGCUAAUACCGCAUACGUCCUGAGGGAGGAAGUGGGGGAUCUUCGGACCUCACGCUAUCAGAUGAGCCUAGGUCGGAUUAGCUAGUUGGUGGGGUAAAGGCCUACCAAGGCGACGAUCCGUAACUGGUCUGAGAGGAUGAUCAGUCACACUGGAACUGAGACACGGUCCAGACUCCUAAGGGAGGCAGCAGUGGGGAAUAUUGGACAAUGGGCGAAAGCCUGAUCCAGCCAUGCCGCGUGUGUGAAGAAGGUCUUCGGAUUGUAAAGCACUUUAAGUUGGGAGGAAGGGCAGUAAGUUAAUACCUUGCUGUUUUGACGUUACCAACAGAAUAAGCACCGGCUAACUUCGUG